UUGGCUGAGCGCAAGUCAAAGGAAGGUACAUAAGUACAGGAGAUGGUGAAACAUAAUUGAGAUGGGCUUGUGCUGUUCCCUCAGAUUGUGCUGCGAGAGAGGAGCGAGACCUGAUGUUUCAGCUGAAACUUCUGUGCCUCCGACACCAUUCCUACCUCUGGGACGUGGCAUCCAGAAAAGGAUGAUACAUUUGCUUGUGGUGAUAAAACUGGGAAUGUAUCCUUGGUAAAUCUGAAGAAUCCAAACUCUGCUCAAACUUCAGCUGUGCACUCCCAAAGCAUCACAGGGCUGGCAUACUCAUUUCACAUGUACCAUCUUUAUUUUGCUUUUUUUUCUGUCUGUGUUGUCAUUCUUUAAGUUGGAAUACAGGAUGAAAUGCACAGGGUCCAGCGUGAUAUGUAGGGGUACAAAGGGGUGCAGUGUGAUAUGCACAGGGGUGUGGGGUCAGUGUGACAUGUAUAGGGGUCCUGGGGAAUUCACAGUGUGAUGUACAGGGGUGCUUGUGAAUUCACAGUGUGACAUUUACAAGGAAGUAAACAAAAUAGGAGUGAGCUUAGCUAAGGACCAACUAGCAACCAGUUCUCUUCAUAUUAGGGAAAGGUAAAUAGAAAUAAUUGGUCCUCUAUAAAUGAUUUUAUUCACAAUAACGUUUUAAAAUAUGUUACCUUUUAUACUUUAUGUAUAUAUAUAUAUGUAUGUAUGU